rnacentral:rRNA from 1 species
UACGAAGGGGGCUAGCGUUGCUCGGAAUCACUGGGCGUAAAGCGCGCGUAGGCGGCUUUGUAAGUUAGAGGUGAAAGCCCGGGGCUCAACUCCGGAAUUGCCUUUAAGACUGCAUCGCUAGAAUCCGGGAGAGGUGAGUGGAAUUCCGAGUGUAGAGGUGAAAUUCGUAGAUAUUCGGAAGAACACCAGUGGCGAAGGCGGCUCACUGGACCGGUAUUGACGCUGAGGUGCGAAAGCGUGGGGAGCAAACAGG